rnacentral:rRNA from 1 species
AUUGAACGCUGGCGGCAGGCCUAACACAUGCAAGUCGAGCGAGCGGCGGACGGGUGAGUAAUGUCUGGGAAACUGCCUGAUGGAGGGGGAUAACUACUGGAAACGGUAGCUAAUACCGCAUACCAUCAGAUGUGCCCAGAGGGGAUUAGCUAGUAGGUGGGGUAACGGCUUACCUAGGCGACGAUCCCUAGCUGGUCUUAUAGGAUGACCAGCCACACUGGAACUGCGACACGGUCCCGACCCCUACGGGCGGCAGCAGCGGGGAUUAUUGCAAAAUUGGCGUAAGCCUGAUGCAUCCAUGCCGCGUGUGUGAAGAAGUCCUUCGUGUUUUAAAGCACUUUCAGCGGUGAGGCGUUACCCGCAGAAGAAGCACCGGCUAACUCCGUGCCAGCAGCCGCGGUAAUAC